rnacentral:lncRNA from 1 species
GUGUUAUCCCACCAGCAGGAACAUACAACUACUGGGCAGACAAUUACACAUUGUUCGUUUUCGAAAUGGCACUCGUGGGGUUCGCUGAGCACCGGAGAUUCCAGGAUUGGUACAACCCUGGUUCAAUGGGUAAACAAUACUUCUUAGGCCUUGAAAAGGGGUUAGGUGGUUCAGGUGAACCGGCAUAUCCCGGUGGACCGUUCUUUAACCCUCUUGGAUUAGCCAAAGAUGAGAAGUCUAAGAAGGAUAUGAGACUCAAGGAAGUGAAGAAUGGAAGGCUUGCUAUGUUGGCAAUUCUGGGAUAUUUUGUUCAAGCAUUGGUUACUGGUGUUGGACCAUACCAAAACCUUCUUGAUCAUUUGGCUGAUCCUGUACACAACAAUAUCUUGACAAGUCUCAAGUUCCACUAAAACUUGUAGCAAAAUCACUCUUUUCUUCAAAAUCUCCUCUCCCCUCUUCUCUUUAUGUGUAAUGUAACAUUAUGUGCAGAUAAUAUUCUUCGUGUCAUCUGUAAUGCUAAACAAAAACAAGGGACAUGUGCCUGAUAUAUAUGUUUUAGAGUCAUAUUCAUCUGGUAUUCGGUACUCACUGAUCUGACUGAAUCAAAUUCGUGCAGCGUAAGUACUGUUAAGCGGGAAAAGCAAACUUAGAAGUGAAGAUUCAUAGAGCCGAUCAAUUAGUUUGGGAGUGAAGCAUAUUAUAUCUGAAGUCGUCGCUACAUCCACCUCCAUCUUAAGAUGAUGACUGAAUGCUAUGCUGGGUUCGAAAUCGAUAAUAUAUAAUGGAUAGUACUAUAUAUAUAAUGGUGCACCAUAUAAAAUAACAAAAAAAAAAAAAAGAAAAAAAGAAAAGUGCACUAUAUAAUGUAUAGUACACAAAAUUAGUGCACUCGAUGGAAAAAAAUGGAUAAUACUCAAAAAGAUUGCAUUUCCCACUGUAGAAAAAAAAAAAAAAAGGGCACAAAUCCUAUUUUGAUCACCUUCUACUUUCAGGACAUAGAUUCAUCAUUGUUUUUGAAUUAGGGGCAUAUUUCAGUUCCGGGGAAGGACUCCACCACAAGGGUGUAUUGUAUGUAGUCUGACCUUACAUUUCUACAAGAGAUGUCCUUGCUAUGAUAAGAUAUUAUCUCGAGCAAUAUAUUAGUAAUCAUGAUCAGAACACCAUCAGAUAUGUCCUUGCUAAUGAUAAGUUAAAGACUACAAUAUAUUAUUUGAGAUGCAGAGACACUUUAAAUGAGAUGUUUGGGGCAGCAAUUUACUGUACAGGAGUCUCUAACCAAAGUUAAAUUACACGUAAAGAAGCACGCACACCUCCUAGGCUCGUAAGAGUUGCAUUACGAAAGUGUCAAAUUCCCUUAUCCAAAGUGACAGACUCGUGGCGUAGCUUGUAAUAUCAUAAACAAGUAAUGCGCCCGCGCAGCCCCUCUGUAAUAUGACCUUAUGUAUCUGAAUGAUUCUUGACCACCCUGACGCGAGAAUAUUUAUAAGGUCAUAUUACAGAGGGGAUGGUCCUUAUAAAUGUUCUCGCAUUGUCAGUUGGUCCAGAUCAUCUCUGGGAUACGUCCAUGAUCUGUAAAUUUAUUGAUUGAUUUGUUGUCAAUUGUGAUCAUUCGAGCUCCAAAUUCAACGCCAAUGGUCAGGUCAUGGACUGGUUGAAACCGUUUGUCCAUAAAUUGCAGAAGUAGACGUGACUUUCCAACUCCUGUACAGAGAAUAUUAAAUCUCUAUAAAUGAUGUAUCGCAUAAUAAGUAUCCCACAUCGGAAAAGGAAUGGGUAACUGGUCUCCUCCUUAUAUGGACUUGGGCAAUCCUCUCUUCAUGAGAUAGGCCCAGUAUCCAUUGUUUACAUGGUAUCAGAGCUAGGCUCAUUACAAAUCUUCGUUCACCAAUGUCAUAAGAAAUGACUUUCCAAAGAGGGGGAUCGGGGCGUGGUGCACUCUUUCAUGGCACAAUAAAAGUUCUGGGUAAGGGAGGGUAAAAUGUACUACGCAGUCCAUACCCACUUACCUCGGACGAAGUAGAGAUGUUGUUUCCGAUAGACUUCGGCUCAGGACAAACUUUCUAGUAGACAGUUAAUAUUGCAUUUGUGUCAGAUCCUCCGAUGAAAAUCAGGACUCUCCAAAAAUGUUGUUGCAUUCGUGUCAGAUACUCUAGUUUCCUCAUGCUCGGACUCUCCAAAAAUGUUGUUGCAUUCGUGUUAGAUCCUCUAGUUUCCUCAUGAUAAGGUUAAGGUUGCUCGGACUCUCCAAAAAUGUUGACGCUCCUUCUGGGGGUUACUCCACGCAUCCAUCGGCAUUUUCAAAGUCCAAGCAAUAUAUGCCAAAACUCUAGUUCCCCGUUGAUAUCACGAUGAUAUAAUGUACCCAACAAACCUAAAACACACAUAUGUCUAACAAAAAAAUCCUUUCUUUUCAAAAUGACCGAUUGCAGAAGCAACAUGAAUAUAUGAUUCGUCUACAAAGUGUUAAGAAAUGCAGCGCAAAAAUAGAAGACUACUAAAAUGCCAGGACUUAAAUAGCAACAUAUACUCUCAAUCAUUGCUCAUGAGCUUCGUAAGGCACAAUAGCUAUAAAAUCUAUUACCGGUAAAGUUGCUACCAUGUAACCAGGAGGUCACAGGUUCGAGUCUUAGAAACAGCCUCGGGUAGAAAUGCAAGAUACGACUGCGUACGAUACACCCUUGUGGUGAGCCGUUCCCCGGACACCGUGCAUAGUGCAUCACACUGCUUCUUUUUUUUUUUUCCCCUUCAGAAGGAACAAUAGCCAUACAAUCCACUGCAACUGAACCUUCAAUUUCUUUUCCAGCUUUACAAGCAGUGCAAAAACACUAGGACCAAAAGAACUAAACUAACAUUGCUGUUAAAGAAAUACAUUGAACCUACUAAUGAGAUCCAAAAUACAGAAAACAACUAUAGGAAGUGAAAAGGCAAUAAAAUUAGCACCACCAUUAACAAACAACUGUUCAAAAUCUAUUUUGUGUCUACCAAGUUAUGAAAUCCAGCACAAAAAUAGAAGAGGAUUGUUAUCGAAUCAAACAGGAAUAAGCGAAACGAAAAAUAAAAAGAACACACAGAUUUACAUGGAAAUCCUUGACGGAAAAAAUAACGGGCAGAGGAGGAAAAAUUCACUAUAAUAGAGGAAUACAAUGAGGAGACGAAAGUCUCAAUGAUGUAUAUAUAUCACGUCCAAAACAACCCACUAAAUAAUAAAGUCAAUAGCUUAUUUGUAGAGUUCUCUAAGCUAUAAUCUGUCUCUUGUUAAUAUGAUGAAACACAAGUAGAGAUAAAUCAUAUUUAAAGUUUAUGCAUUUCUAGAUCUCAAGUUAAUAAAAUUGGAUUUAAAGUUAAAUAUUUAUGAUACUUAGUAGAAUUUUUAAUAUAUAUACAGUCAUAUCUCUUUAUAACAAUAUUGUUGGUUCCGAGAUUGUUUGGCUACUAUAAUGAUGAAUUGUUACACAUCUGUAAUAAUAUCUAACAUCUAAAUAAUAUUUAACUGUGAUAGAUUAAAAAAUUACAUAAAUCUAAAUUUUUAGUUUUAAUGUUACAAAAUAAUUAAAUUAUUUGAAUUUAAAAUCUCAAAGAUAUGCCUACUUCACUAACAAAAAACUAAUGAAAGUUAAUACAAUUUUAAUAAGUUGAAAAUUAAAUGUAUAAGGAUAUAAGUUUAUAAUUGUAGCUUGUUCCAUAAAUUCAUAUAAUAUUCUUUGUCAUAAAUAAUCUAUUACAGUAUCAAAAUAUUUUAGUCAAAAUUUCUAGACCUAUUAUUGGUAAUCUUAGAGAUUCUAUUCAUACAAAGGUGGUUAAUUAUUAUAUAACCAAAAAGAAAAAAAGAAAAGAAAAGAACAUUUGUCAUAAUAAGUAGGUAGUUUUACAAAGAACAUACUAUUAUAUGGCUAUUGUUGUUAUUGGCAAAAGAGUAAUUACAUGGUUAUUGUUGUUAUUAGCAAAAAUGUAAUUAUAGAAAAGUAAAAUAUACGAAAAAUAUUUAAGAAAAUACUAAUCAUUAUAAUGAAGAAAAGACAUAAGUAUCACCAAACCUAUGACAAAAUUUUAAGGAUACACCUUUACUUUUCCAAUAUUUUGUUACCCUCCUGAACAUAUGGCUCAAUGAUACUUCUGGCUUAAAGCGAAACUUCAAGAGAGGUCUUAAUAAUUUUAUCAGAGAAAGAAAUAUUUAUAUAUAAUUUUAUUUGAUGUUAAUUUGUUGAAGAUAUAUAAUAAAUUUCUCACCAACUUCUUCUUCAAGCAUCCUACAUGGCUAAUUACGUAAAAUACAUAUGUUUUGCAUGUCAAAUUACUUUAGAUUUGCCACGUAGGAUGUGAGUGUCUACUUAUUUAACUUUAUGAUAGUUUAGUGACAAUUUGUGCAGACUCAAAAUUGAAUGGCAUAAAUGCUAGUUGAAACUAGAUUAAAGAACAUAUUUAUUGGUUGUGACAAAAUAAUAUGAAUUAUAUGAAUUAUGAUAAUGAUGAUUGUUUAUACAUGAAGAAAAAUAGGACUAUUUAUAAGUAAGGUGUUUGGGGAGAUUCCAGUAUUUUACUUCUCAAUUUAUCUCAACAGUACCAUCAUUUUUUUUUAAAAAAUAAAAAUUGCACAUAUUUAAAUAUUUUUUUAAAAAAUAACAAGGAGUACCAAUGUCAUGAUUCAAAAACUUAGGUCAUAAUGAUACCUACUUUAUUCCACUAAUAGUUAAGUCAGAAUCAUAGCCCCAAACGGUGAUUAACGGACUAACAUGCAGAAGAAGAAAAUACACAAUUAAAAUAAUAAUUUAGAGCAACACUAUAUGUAUAUGCAUGUAUAUAUAUGUAUGUAUAUGUAUGUGUCACACCCCUUUUUACCCACAAGAUUGAUUUUAAGUUCGAAAAGUGUUUUAUUAUUAAGUGACAAAAGAAAAUAAUUUGUUUCGAAAAGGAUUGUUUACAUUCAAACUUAGAGUCUCCACUUGACAUAAAUCUGGUGUGCCAAGUCACCUUUUAAAAUCCUAUUUCAAAAUGAUUUUUGACUCUUUCAAAAUUGAUCCACGAACAGAGAUUUCGAUUAAUGAAUUCUGUUGACCGAGAGAAAGGUGUUAGGCACCCCUCGAUCCCGUGCUUCGACCAUGGUCGCUUCGUGGAGUGUAUCGGCUAGUUUGACACUAUAAAAUGAAUAAACCAAACAAAACACACAACACAUAAGAAACAAGCAAUCAAAUAGUCAAAAGUCCGAAAUAGUGUCCAGUCCAUUUAUUACAGUCCAAAAUAAAAGAUACUGAAAUAAACCUACUCUAACCUACACUAGUCCUAAACUAUGCUCUACCCGAUGCCUCGGGCCUUGAUCACGAACGUCCUUCGCAUACAAGAUACUUCGGGGCAUACCCAGGUGAAUAAGUACAAAUGGCCUCGGGGCAUUCCCGGCUAAAUGAAUACAUUUACAAUUUCAAGCGACAAAGUGAAACAAUCUCAAGCACAAUCAUUCAAUCAUUCCACAAUCGUUAAUUUCUACAAUUUGCCUAUCCAACUUAGUAUUUGCCGACCCAUUUGACGGCCUAAUCAUGAUAUUGUCAUGUUAAACAACAUUCAAUGUCCAUUUCAAAUCAAUCAACGAUUCAAUGAAUUAAAUUAAUUAAUAUUCACCCUUUUUAUUAUUUUUUCAAUUCCCGACCCAACUUGAAUUCUAAGUAAUGGUUCGAACAUAACAAUUCACGAUUAAUAUUUUUUAACCAUCCAUAAUCAAUAUAAUAUAACAUUUAUCAUUCACAUCACGCAUAAAAUAAGAGAAAGCUGAGAUGAUAAAUAUCAAUCACACAUAAAAAUAUAGAAUUAACUAAGAAUAAGAAUUAAGAUUAAGAGAUGGACCUUAAAUUGGGGCUUUCGAGCUAUGAGUAUUAUUUGAUCACACUUUUGACUUCAAACCGAGCAGUUGACCGGAGCUCACGAACAGGACCUCAUCAGAACCUCAAAUUGGAAUAUGUGAAUCCGAAAUCUUCAAUCCAAACUUGAUUUGUAACUAAACCCACAAUCGUUUUUCUAAUUUAUUUUGGCGCUAGGCUGACUGAUUGUGUUGUUUCCCGACGAGAAUCAAAGAGAAUGGAGUUGUUCUUGUUUUCCGAUGGAUAUGGGUCGUUUCCAGCGAGGAUCUUGGUCACCGAUUUUAAUGGGUUUUUUGACUGGAUCUAGUUUGAGGAGUUUUCCUGCCAGACUCCGGUGAGCUUCACUAGCGAUUCAAGCAGUGAUGAAAGCUAUAAUUCCGACGAGAGUGUCACCGAAAAAUUAAGGACUGACCUAUUUUCUCUAAAUUUCUCACUGUCUCUCUCACCUGAUCUCCCCUCUCUCAUUUUCUCUCUCUAUCUUACUGGUUUUGUGCGUCAGGGUAUGUCUAUAAUAGUGUGUGGUACCAGUUGAUGUACGUGUGUAUUGUAUUAUGUGUGUAGAGAGUAUCUCCUUGUGAAUGUGUGCUUAAUCCAUGGAAAUAAAGGAGAUGUAUAUGUGUGUUCGUUUUUGUGUGUGUGAAUUUUGUUGAGAGAUAUAUUAUGUGUGAUUCCCUGAGAGUUAUGUGUGACUGCAACGCCCCAAGAGUACACCCUAGAUGCCACACGGUGCUAGAAACCACAAGUGAUCCCAGUCUAACUCAUGAUUGACAUACUAUUAAGCAACUAAAUUAUAACAUAAUAAAUAGCUAUUCUGCUUUGUGGAAAUAUAAUCAUGACAAAAUCUGAGAGAAAUUAUAUUACUAAUACACUUUUCUAUCUGAUAGAAACUGAGGAGAGAACUGAAAUUACAUGAUUGACUUUGACUGACAUCUAUGAAGCCUCUACUAUACUGAAUAUAGUAGAUGGGACAUGCCUCCAACUACCCCUAAUCAAUACAUAUGAAAAAUAAAUGAACUGUACAUGAACUAAAAUUGUCUGUAGUUUCUGAAAUAAGAGAACUCAUCACUUGUUGGCUGAAAAUUGCAACUGUCUGAUCAUGAUGUGCGGGAUACAAAUGGUACCUACAUUAUGAAAUAAUGUAGCCACACAGACAUAUAUGUGGAUCAACACUUCUAGAAUGUACUGUGUAUGCAGGGGUGAAUGCAAUAAGUAAAACAACUUUUAUACGUAAUCUUAGAACGUGCAUGCUAAGUGUAAGUAGACUCAAAAAUAGGCUGGAAUAAACUAAAAGCUGAAAUAUCUUAAAAGCAUGAGCAACAAACAUAAUCUAGUAAGCUGGUGAAUCUCUACACUUAGUUUAUGUAAAACUUUACUUUUUUAUAAUGUAAGUAGAACUGAAGCUGGGAUACGGUAAAAGAUGGAUACAUAAACCUAUAUAUUGAGUAGCUGAUAUAUGAAUAUGGACUGCUGAUACUUGUACACUGAAUAGAUAAUGACUGAAUACUGAUCACGUAAUACUGAACUAUAGUUAGUCUAAAUAACUGGGCUGAAAUUGUAGAGUACUAUGCUUAUGAGGUAAGGACUAUCAAAACAACAUGAGAUAACUGAGCAUGCAUGCGUGAAAACUGUAAUAUAUGAGAAUGAAAGAGUAAGUGUAUAUCUGUUAUGGUACUGAGAUAAAAGGACCAAGGUGUCAAGCCUAAACUGACGGGUGACCCCUGAGAGGUAGUCAAGCCUAAAUUGACGGGUGACUCCUCGAAUCCUACAUUGGAUACGUAGUUCUAGAAUACAGGGACCGCUACUAAUGACUCUGCCUAACUGAUGGGGAAGCCGCCAUCCCUGUACUCACUCGGUACUAAAUCCUACUCUCAACUGAACUGACUCGAGAUACUGAACUGUUCUUAGUUUAACUGAUUAUGAUAACUGACUGAACUGAUCAUGCUCAUGACAUGUCUGAAAACCAUUCUGAAAAUACUGAAACUAAGUAAACAACUAAGUUUUUGGGUAUUCAUAACCCCCAGGACUCGAUAGCAAUAGCGACAGGGAUAUACUAAAGCUUCGAAACCAUAAUAAGAAAGAAUUAUUUAAAGAAACCCAUCACUUGGAUAUUUUAUCAAACACAUGGAGAUUAGUACUUUAACAUAGGACAAUCCAUCAAACACACGGGGAUCAUGAACUAGAACAUAGUAAUAUCUCAAACAUGGGAGCAUAACAUGAUUGCAUAACUAAAAUCAUGAAUCGGGGAAUUUACAUGAAAUUAGUUUGAAAUUGGACAUGGGCGUAUCAUCAAAACAUAUAAAGAUCACAGCUUGAACGUAAGAAUGUCUUAAACAUGAGAGAACAAUAGAGUUACACGGCAAAAUUCAUAACUUGGGGAUUCAUCUUGAAAUUGAUUGAAAAUGAUAUGGGGAUUUCAUCAAAUAUGUGGAAGUCAUGAAUUUACAACAUGGGAAUAUUGCUAAACAUCAUGAAUUUAGGAUCUAUCAUGGGAUUUACUUGAAUAAAACAUGAGAAACUCAAAUUCAUAGCAUGAGGAAUUCAAAAUCUUGCAUAGAAUCAUACAUGGGCUGAAUUGAAACAAAAAUACCAUGAAAACAUGAACUUCAAUCUUUCUUGAACAUUCAAAAUACCAUAAUAAUGGAAAAUUCAUUCUUUACUUAAACGAAAAGGGUUUUGGGGUUCCAUAAGUGAAACAGGACCCAUGGAUGAACUCCUACAUACCUUAAAACUUUAAAUCUUGAAGAAGAAAUAAAAUCUUGGAAGUUUUCUUGAAUUGAGAAACUUGAUUCUUGAUGGUUCUUGAAGAGGAGAAUUGAAUAAUUUUCUUGGGAUUAGAUUAGGGUUUCUUGGAGAGAAAAGGGAAGGAGAAUGGGAAAAUUAUGCCCUAAAUGAUAUAUUAACUCGUGUAUAUACGACUUGUCUUGAGGAAAAAAAACUUAACUGUCCCUUAGAUAUUUAAAUUAGUGAUCGGAUCUCAAUUCUACACCUUACCGCGAUUCGGUACCAUCACGGCAGCUUACUGCCUCACACGAAAAAUGCUAUAACUUUUCACUCGAGUAUCAAAUUAAGACAAAAUUGGUAUCAUUGGAAAACUGAUUCAAUUAUCUACAAUUUGGUGGGUCUUUAGUUGAAAAAUUAUACAUACAUUAAAAGUUAUAUAUUUUUGAAGUUGACCUUUGUAGAAUCAAACCCCAAACUUUGGACUAAUGUAAGGUUCUUAGCUCAACUUAGCUCUAAGUGAUUUCUAGGAACAUUAUUCACCUAAUAAUCACUUCACACACUAGGAUAAACAUCAUGACAUAUGAAUUUUAAAUUAUGGAUCAAUAACAUGACAAAUACACCUUCAUCGCGAUGCAGUGGAAUCGCGUUGAGCUUCUGAAAUUCGUUAGUUAAAGGACGAGGGUGGUUUAGGGGAUUGACAUGAUCUGAGCUUAUUGCGUUGAUCCACUGGAAAUAGACGAGUGCAAUUUUACACCUUGGUGCGAUAUGGCGCCAUUGCGGUGCUUCACUGAAAAAAGAACAAGUGCGAUUUUGCACUUCACCGCGAUGCAGUGCGAUCAUAGUGAGCCACUAGAAAUAUAAUCCAAACACCAUUCAAACCUUUUCCGAAAAUUUUGAAACUUCCUUGAGACAUGCUCCUUGCACCCCUGAACAUGAAUCAACUAAAAAACCAUCAUCUCAAAGCCCGAAAGAUCCACUUAAAAAUCCACGAAGUUAAGGAGUCAAAUAUAUGACUAAGUCUCCAUCACAUAGUGAAAUUUUCAUGUUCUAAGAUUCUUAUGUAUGCACUUGGAGCUGAACUAAACUAAGGAUAAUACGAAGUAUUAUAGUAAGUGUGUGUAUAUAUUGGUGUAUUGUAGUGUUAUGUGUUCUGUUCUCUAUAUUCGAUGGUGAGGGUGUGUGUAUCAAUUAUGUGAGAGGCGUAUGUGUGGGUGUAUAAGAAUGAAGUUGUAUGAGAAACAUAAAUUGGGGUAGGGUGCACAUAGUAGGGGGUAUGUAGAGGUAGGGGGUAUAGGUUGUUAUUUUGUUCAGGGUGAGGUGUCCCAAGUUGUUAAGAAUUUAUUGGAUUUGUUAUUGUGUGAAACUUAUCACAUAGGUGAAGGUAUAUGCAUGGUAAGAUGGAGUAAAAAUGGUAAAAAAAGAUUUUGGGGAGGGACAAAAUUAUAUGUCUACAAAGAAGUAGACAAAAUUUUAACCCAACUAUUAUUUAAAAAAAAGGAUAGAGUACCACCGUGUUUUGAUUUAGGACAUCCUACCUACUAAAGUUAUGAGAGAAUCAAGUCACAGGUAUCUUAAAGGUCUAGAAGGAGAAGAACUAUACCUAGUAGGAGAGUCGAGUGAGAUGCCAUCGAGGUUCCGGUCAGCGGCUCUGUCAUUACAUCAAAAAUGAAAAUUACAAGUUAAAAACAUAAAUAAAAUUACAAAAGUCCUAUUUAUACAUCUUUUCUUGGCUCUUGACUUGCUAUUUCAUCACCUUAUUCUCCAGGCAGUUCCUGACUUGCAAUAUCCUUACUCUAUUCUCCGGGCGAGCUCCUGACUUACAAUUUCAUCACCUUGUUGCUUGGAUUUCAAUUUCUUCACUCUGUUCUCUAGGCGGGAUCCUGACUUGCCAUUUCUUCAAUAUGUUAACUUUCAAUUUCUUCACCUUGUUGCUUGACUUUCAACUUCUUCACCUUGUUGCUUGACAUUCCAUUUAUUCACCUUAUUCUCCUGGUAGGCUCUUGAAAUCACAUUAAAACUAUAAAGAAAAUUAUCUCAAACAAAGGUUAUGAUAGAAAUCUCACUUUUAAAAAAUAAAGUCUCAGUUUUCAAGAGAGUCUUAAAUGACGCUUUCAAUAACAUGAAUUGAAUUUUUUUCCCUAGUUUAUCAUCCAAAAACUUUUGCGAAUGUCAAAUCCAAUCGUAACUACUUGCAUGCUGCAAUGAUGAAUCAAGACUCUGACCAAGAAAUGCAUCUCUUGAGAGUAAAAUUAAAUGACCAAGACUAGGAAAUGCGUCUUCUAAGAAUUAAAGUGAGGAAUUCCGACUAGAAAGUGUAUCUUCUAGAGAUAAAAGUUUAAGUUAGGAAGUGUGUCACCUGACAAAUGAAAACUCACAAGGAAGUGCAUCUCUUAAGGGGUUGCUUCUAGGAGUGAAGGUUCAAUUUAGAAAGGGCAUCACCUGAUAAAAAAAAUCUGAAUUGCUCAGAUAAGGAGGUGCAUCUCCUAGGGAUUGCAUGGAAGAGACUAGAAAGUGCAUCUUCUAGGAGUAAAGGCUUAAGUGAGGAAAUGUGUCACCUAGAAAACCAAACUUGAACUACCCUGACAAGAAAGUGUGUCUCCUAAGGGUUAAGUGGAAUUACUCGACUAGAAAAUGCAAUUUCUAGGAGUAAAUGCUUAAGUUAGGAAGUGAACCACUUUACAAGGGAAACUCGAAUUACCUGACAAGAAAGUGUGUAUCCUACGGGUUAACUACUCAACUAAAAAGUACAUUUUCUAGGAGUAAAGACUUGAGUUAGAAAGUGAAUUACCUGGCAAGUGAAACUUAAAUACCUACCAAUGAAGUGUGUCUCCUAAGGGUCAAGUAGAAUGACUCGACUAGAAAGUGAAUUUUCUAGGAGUCAAGACUUAAGUUAGGAAGUGCAUCACCUAACAAGUAAAAUUUGAAUUACCUUACAAAUGCCACUUGAAUUAACUAAGAAAAUGCGUCUCCUUACAAAUACUACUUAAUUUAUCCAGAGAAGAAAAUAUGUCCCCUAAAUAUUAAAUGGAAGGACUCAACUAGAAAGUGUGACUUCUAGGAGUGCAGGUUCAAUUUAGAAAGUGCAUCACCUAAUAAAUGAACCUGAAUUACCCGGACAAGGAAGUGUAUCUCCUGGAGAUAUUGAAUUAUGAGUUUUACCAUAAUUUCAAUUACCAAACCUAUGUAGCAAUAUUGCCUCUUGUAUUUGUAGAAGUGAGAAAUUACGACCUUUAAUGUUUAGGCUUUGAAAUUCUUGAUUUGUAGGUAACAUGUGUUCCUAUUUCAUACAAAGAAAACUUGUGAGUUUAGGAACAUGGUAGCUGGUUUGUGGCUUUAGCUUUUGCAGCAAUCAUUUUUGCCCUCAUCACAUUUAAUCUUGCUUCCAACCAUUAGCAUAUGUCAUUGACUUGCUGCAUCAUUGACCUAAAUUCAGAUUAUUAAGAGUGUUUCUAAAAAAAACAUGGUAUCUCUUCUUUCCCAUGCUCCUUUGAACCUUGGUAUUUCCCUAAGUUCUCAAACUUGUCUUUUGACAAUACUUUCUGCAUGCCUUAUUUCGUCUCACAAUCAUGUCUCUUUCAUGUGCUGACCUUUUGUUUAGCUUUGUACAAUUGGCAAAGUUGAUAGCUAGUUUUGAAAUCUUUUCUCACUUGCUUUGACAUUGAUUUGACUUAAAGACACAACAAAAAUGACUUUCUUUGAAUAUCUGACUCAAGAAAACACAAAUAAAAAUGUAAAGAAGAAAUAACAGACAAUGAAUGUCCAUAUUGAAACAGAGUAAAGCAAAAUUUAUCUAAAAACGACAGUCAAUUCUAAUGAUUAUGCCAUGCAUUUUUAAAUUAAGCUGCCUGAUCUUUCCACUCAAGUUUUCUACCAAUUGUUCUUGAGUUAAUGACACAAAAACUAUGUUACUUUCUUGGGCCAAUUAAAUUUAGUGACAUUAUUCGGCUAGUGGGGCCUUAGAUGGUUUUUUCCAACAAGCCUCUCUCAUUUUUUCUCACCCUUGUCUUACGAUGCCCAUGAGGGUUUUCACUAAUAAUACUCUCUUAUUUUUAUUUCUCUCAACUUAAAAUCUUUUUAUGGUGCCCGUGAGGGUUUUCACCUAUAAGACUCUUUCAUUUUUAUUUCUCCACUAAUUCCUUAUGACGAGGAAGACAAUAGUACCCAAAAUGCAUCAUCAUAUCCAUUGCAUGCUUAGCCUUAACAUUCUCAAAGAUUUAUCUGAAGGUCUUUCUGUGGUUGUAACUUUAUUUUUGGAUAGGAUUAAAAAAAAAGGAUGACAUGAGGCCCAAACGACACUUGAAGUGGGGUAGAACUUACAUUUUUUGGAAUUGACUCAAACAACAAAGAUUAGCUCGUGCCCCAUUUUUUUUGACUGAGCAAUUCUAAAUUAUUUAUUUGGUUUGAUCGUACCCAAGUAGGGCUGCCUACGUAUCUCACCCCCGAGAGAGUAGAAUCAUGUCACAUGUAGUUCCAACAAUUUGUUCUUUUGCUUGAUUCUGAUUUCUUAUUUUUUUUUCUUUUAUUGACUCUUUUUUGGACCUUUUCUAACUUUAUUUUUCUUGACGCUCUUUUUUUUUUUUUUGGACAUAUUUUGUUUUUUUUUCUUUUUGAAACUUUUCUGACUCUAUUAUUUUGCUCUAUACCUUUUCUUUUGAACUUUGCUGACUCUAUCUUAAUUCCUAAAGAGGGGUAUGGAAGAAAAUAGAACUAAAGCUCAAAUGAGGUAAACAAAGGAUAACACAAUAUUUGAAUGGAAGAAUGAAAUACCUUCGUCAUAUCAAUUCUUGAAAAUGCAACUACAUAUCAUGUAAUAUGACAGUGAAAGAUAAAGUUCAUUUGUGAUAUUUUUUACAGCACUAACUUUAACUGAGCAUGUGCGUCACUAUUUUUUCUGCGCUUUGUCUAGCAUACAACUUUACCUUUGUUGUACAUACCUUACAUCGAAUGACUCAUGAUUUUGUGGAGCUGAUUAUCUUUUGGUUUCUCUUGAUAUAGGAUUGUGCAUCCACUUCUUGACCUAAUUAAGAUAUGUAUUUCAAUUGAUGACCAUGUUAUUCUUGUGAUUCUUACCUUAAUUUAAAAAAAAGGCUUCAACUUGAUCACCAAAUGUCUCACACUCUACCUAUUUUAUCAGAUGCUCUUUUCUAAAUGAAACAUUCUAAUUCAAAGUUCAUGCUUAAACUAAAUUUUAAGAUCUAGUUGAAAAUUCUGCCAGCAUUCAUAUCACUAGAACCAACAUAAAAUAUACUGUGUAAAAAAAACAAACAAACAACACAUAUUAAACACAGGAAAAAAAGGUACACUCCAUUUAGUUGAAAUAAAAGAUAGUAGGGUUUGAACAUAGAUGAAAAAUGGACAAAAUAGGAUAGAUCCUGAACUACAACCCUAAAAUAAUUCAGAUAACAAAAAAAAAAGAAAACAAGCUACAGAAACCUUUCUUUGUAAGGAGAGGAGUGACUUUUCAAUUGCUGAGCAUAAUAUCUUAGCCAUUGGUUUGUACAUCAGCAUGACUAGAGCUUUCACCACUGUUAAUUUUCUGUACCAUAAUCAAUUUAUCUUGAAUCAUCUUUUCUAUUUCUUUUUUCAAAGCACGACAAUCUUCAAUACUAUAACCCUGAACAUUAAAAUGACAUACACAUCGUACAUUAGGAUCAAAACUUCUUAAAUACGGGUCAUGAGUAUACCCAAGGAAAUGAAUAAUCAUGCCCUGCUGUACCAAUCUCUAGAAUAAACUGGCAUAUGACUCUCUAAUUGGUGUGAAGCUAUCCCUCGACUUCUGACUCAUUUCAUUAUUUAACUUGAUUGAAAAUCAUGCCUAGAAGGGCUUUGGUAUAUUUAUGGAGUUAGAGGAUAACUCUGAAGAGUUGGUGUGUGCCAUUGUGGGUAAGAUGUGGGUUGAACAUGUGGUUGUGCAUUAUAUACUGGAUAUGGAGGUGGGGAAUAAAGUAUAAUGGAUUUUGGGAGUGAUUAUGUGGAGCUUGGGCAUGAACUUGGGCUUGAGCCUGAGAGUAAUGACGACAUAGUCUUCUUGAUCGUGCCCAUUAUCCAAUUAAAAUAACAGAUGCAUCUUUCUUAUUCUUUUUCCCUCUAACACUUUCUAAACCCUUUUGAAUUGCUUGAGUAGUCUCUUUCAAUGUUGCAAAACUCUCAAUGCGCCCAGUCUUAAUUCUAUCUUCUAUCAUCUCUUCUAUUUUGAGGACCUCAAUAAAUGACUUGCCUAAUGCAGGUAACAAGUGUUGAUAAUAUGUUUCAUUUUGUGCUUGAAUAAACACCUCCACUAUCUUACUUUUUUACAUUGGCGGUUUCACCCUAGCAACUUGUUCACGCCAUCUAAUCACAUUCUCCCUGAAAUUUUCUAUAAUCUUAUUCUUCAUAUUAGUUAGGGAUUUCUCAUCAAGAAUCAACUCCACAUUAUAUUUGAAUUAUUGCACGAAUUCAUUAUCUAGGUCAUCCCAACUAUUUCACUUAUCUAUGUCUUUGUCAACAAACUAUUUUGAAGCUAGACCUGAAAGUCUCACCGAAAUAAGCCAUGAGUAAUUCUUCCUUCCCUCCAACGCCUCUUAGUUAGUUAUAAUAAUAUAUCAAAUGUGCUACGAGAUCACCAUGUCCAUCAUACUUUUCAAAAUUCGGCAUUUUAAAACCAGAAGGAAGGUUAACACAUGGAAACAUGCACAGAUUUUUAUAUGAGAUACUUUUAUAACCCCUAAGUCUUUACAAGUUCUUCACAGCCAGUUCCAAACUUCUCAAUUUUUCUGGUCAUUUUCUCUUGUUCUUCUGUCAUAACAGACUUCUUAGUGUUAAGAAGAAAUUCAGGCAGGUGAAUAAAGCCGUUAGGACCAGUCAACUUAAAAGUAGGGUCGGGAGCGUAAUGCUAAGCAGCAAAAAUAUUCAACACAGGCUCUCUUAUAGAGUAGGGAGGGCACAACCGUUGGAUAGACAUUAAAAGCAUAAACUUUAGGUGGGGGUGGCACCACAAAAACAUGAAUAGCAGGUGGAUCCGAGUAUGUGGAGGUUCUAUAUUGAGGAGUGAGGAAAUGAAUAUUAGAAGUGUUUGGAUAUUGUUGCCCCGGAGUAGAUCCUGAUGCAUAUUAUAGCGUGUCAACAAAAUAGGGAAUGGUACAUAUGACACUGGAGGCAGGCUAGAAAGAUAUUCUAUAUUAUUAGUGGGAAAUAGAGAAGGCAGUAACCCAUUGGCCCAAGCUCGAUGCAUAUUUUUAAUUUGCUGCCUUAAUUUUCGAAUCUUUUCAUUAGCUCCUAAAUUUUUAUUGUACGAACUCUCCAUAUGAUUAGUGACAACAACCUCGGUAUCCUUGUUUGUCAUAACUUUCUCUUUGGCUUGGUGCAAUAUGGAGGACCAACAAAAUGCCACAAACCAACCACCUUAAACUAACUGAACAAAGGAUAACAAAAUGUGUUAAAGUUCAAUAUUUCUUCAAAUCUUUGUCUUUCUUUUAGAAAAGAUCACCGAACCUCAUCCCAGUAAGAGGAGAAUCAGGUUUGCAUAGUUCAUGAAGUUUUGGCACAACAUGACCAAUCAAACUCUCUUUCUUUAUCUUUUUUUUUCUUGAAACUUUAUGAAGAAAAAAAAAACAAAUUGUCAAAAGAAUUAACGAAAAUCUUUUUGAAUUUUUUUAGCUUUAAAAUCCCUAUACAAAUAAAACUUAUGAUUACCCAAAAAAAUCUUUUUGGAUUUUUUAUUUGAAUUUCAUAUGAAAAUGAAACUUGAAACUAUUAAAGGAAAAUCUUUUUGUAGUUUUCUUUAAAAGAUGUAUAUGAAACACCUACUCUAAUUGAAGAGUGAAGAAAAUCUUUUUGAAUUUCUUAAAUAAGAUCACCGAACCCACGAAGGGCAGCCUACGUAUCUCACUCCUGAGAGAGGAGAAUCAGGUGUGUGUAAUUUGUACAAAUUAGAAAAUUAAGAAUUAAAUAACAAACUAAACCUUGACUUAAGAUAUAGGACCAAAGACAACCAAUGGAAAAUGUCAAUAAAAUCUUUUUUUGGGUUAUAUAUUUGACACUUCACAUAAAAAAUAACACCAACAACUACAAACAAAAAAUCUUUUUGGUAUUUUUGUUAUAUGAAAUGUACAAAACUUCUACCAUCUUUUUUGAAAAUUUUGAAUUAUGAAUGCUUGGUAAAUAGAACAAAAGAAAAUUAUUUUGACAUUUUUGCUUUUGAAAGAUGAGUGUAAAAGGUAAAAAUCUUUUUGAAUUUUAAGAUUGCGGGAAACAAAAGUCAUAAAGAACUAUAAAAACUACAAAACUCUCUACUCACUUUUUUUCCCUUUUUCAAAGGCAUAAACACACGAUUACCUCAAAUCAGUCCGUCAAAUGACCCUAUUACCCUCAAAGAUGCAACAAUUAGCAUAUAGGAAUGCUUUAGAGGUGAGUCUCCUACAAAGGACCAAAUGGGUCCUACUAGGUCUCAAUAUGAUGCAGAUUAGCAUGAUCUAAAGACUAACCUAGGCUAGGGUCCACUAACAAGGUUGUUUGGGGGAAUAUAUGGUCGAUAGUGGCUGCGAUUGCUUUCCACCUACUCCAUACAUACGACGGCUCCCCUCCUAAAAUAGGGGUGAAUCAACUAGAGUUUGUGUACACGACAUGUACUCCCGAACUUAUUGCGAAAGAAAUGACUUAGGAUAAUAUAUAGAUGAUGCUAGACAUAUAGCGAUAACACAUAAAAAAAACUGUAAAUAAAGAGCACGUAGGCAUCAAACACUGAUAUAACAAUAAUAGAAACAAAAUAUUUAUACACCUAUAGUAUCAAACUAAGCUGAUACAUCUAAAAAAUAAGCUCGAAUUCUGAAAAAUUUCCAGCUGAGUCGCUAGAGCUGUCACACCCUUUUUUACGAAAAAAUUAUAUUGAGUUCAAAAAAGAUUUUAUUAUUAAGUGACAAACGAAAAUAAUUUAUUUUAAAAAAAUAUUUACAUUCAAACUUAGAGUCGCCACUGACAUAAAUCUGGUGUGCCAAGUCACCUUUUAAAAUCCUUUUUCAAAAUAAUUUUGACUCUUUCAAAACUGGUCCAUGAAUAGAGAUUUCAGUUUGGAAUUUCUGUUGACCGAGGGAAAGAUGUUAGGCACCCCUCGAUCUCGUGGUUCAACCACAGUCGCUUCGUAGAGUAUAUCGGCUAGUUCGAUACUAUAAAAUGUAUAAACCAAACAAAACACACAGCACACAAGAAACACACAAUCAAAUAGUCAAAAGUCCAAAAUAGUGUCUAGUCCAAUUAUUACAGUCUGAAAUAAAAGAUACUAAAAUAAACCUACGCUAACCUAUACUAUUACUUACUAUGCUCUACCCAAUGCCUCGGGCUUUGAUCGCGAAUGUCCUUCGCGUACAUGAUACUUGGGGGCAUACCUAGGUGAAUUAGUACAAAUGACCCCAGGGCAUUCUAGGCUAAAUGAAUAGAUUUCCAUUUUCAAGUGACAAAGUGAAACAAUCUCAAGCACAAACAUUCAAUCAUUCCACAAUCAUAAAUUUCUACAAUUUACCUACCCAACUUAGUAUUUGCCUACCAAUUUGACGGCCUAAUCAUGAUACUAUUGUGUUCAACAACAUUCAAUGUCCAUUUCAAACUGUUGUGUUCUACAACAUUCAAUGUCCAUUUCAAACCAAUCAACGAUUCAAUGAAUUAAAUUAAUCAAUAUUCACCCUUUUUUAUUAAUUUUUCAAUUCCCAACCCAACUUGAAUUCUAAGUCAUAGUUUCAAACAUAACAAUUCACGAUUAAGAUUUUUUAACCAUCCACAAUCAAUAUAAUAUAACAUUUAUCAUUCACAUCACGCAUAAAAUAAGAUAAAAUCGAGAUGAUAACAAUCAAUCACACAUAAAAGCAAAGAAUUAAAUAAGAAUAAGAAUUAAGAUAAAGAGAUAGACCUUAAAUCAGGGCUUUCGAGCUGUGAACAUUAUUUGAUCAGACUUUUGAAUUCAAACCGAGCAGUUGAUCGGAGCUUACGAACAGGACCUCAUUGAAACUUCAAAUCAGAAUCUGUGAAUCCAAAAUCAUCACCCCAAACUAGAUUUGUACCUAAACACACGUUCGUUAUUCUAAUUUGUUUUGGUGCUGGGUUGACUCGUUAUGUUGUUUCCCGGCGAGAAUCGAAGAGAACGGAGUUGUUCUUGUUUUUUGGUAGAAAUGGGUCGUUUCUAGAAAUGAGCUUGGUCAUCGGUUUUAAUGGGUUUUUUGGCUGGAGCUAGUUUGGGGUGUUUUCCUGUUCGAGCUCUAGUGAGCUUUAUUGGUGAUUCAAACAUUGAUGAAAGCUACAAUUUCGACGAGACGGUCAUCAAAAAAUUAAGGACAGACCUGUUUUCUCUUAAUUUCUCACUAUCUCUCUCGCCGAUCUCACCUCUCUUGUUUUCUAUGAUUGUUCUCUCUCUAUCUCACUGGUUUUGUGCAUCGAGGUAUGUCUAUAUCAGUGUGCAAUGCCAGUUGAUGUAUGUGUGUGUUGUAUUAUAUGUGUAAAGAGUAUUCUCCUCAUGAAUGUGUACUCAAUCCAUGGAAAUAGAUGAGACGUAUGUGCAUGUUCAUCUCCGUGUGCGUGAAUUUGUUGAGAGAUAUAUUAUUUGUGAUUUUAUGAGAGUUUGUAUGAGUGUGUGUAUAUAUCGGUGUACUAUAGUGGUGUGUGUUAUGUUCUCUAUAUCCGAUGGUGAGAGUGUGUAUAUCAAUUAUGUGAGAGAUGUAUGUGUGGGUGUAUAAGAAUGAUGGUGCAUGAGAAACGUAAAUUGGGGUGGGGUGCACAUAGUAGGGGUAAGGGGUAUAGGUUGUUAUUUUUGUUACGGUGAGGUAUCCCAAGUUGUUAAGAAUUUGUUGGAUUUGUUAUUGUGUGGAACUUAUCACAUGGGUGAUACAUGAUAAGACGGGGUAAGAAAUGGUAAAAAUAAUUUUGGGAAGGAGCAAAAUUACGUGUCUACAGUAUGUAUACAUACAUAUAUACAUAUAUAUAUAUAUAUAUACAUACAUAUAUACACAUACAUAUACAUACAUACAUACAUACAUCAUAUUAAACAAGGGAAAGGGACAAAAUAUACAAAAAAGAGCCCCUAAGAACUAGUGAGACAAGUACAAGAGUCACAAUAUAAAAAGAGUAUUGGAUAAGUGUCAAAAUAUACAAGUAGUCUCUAAAUAUACAAGUUAGACUAUACUGAAGUAGAAGGAGAAGGAUCAUCUCUGGAUGCUGAAAGCUCACCUAAAUCUUCUGUCAGAGAGCUCCACUUGAAGUCGACAUUAAUAGUGAUGAUUCAUACUAGGAAUUACAAUAGAUAAAAAGAUGCAGAAGUAUAGUGUGAGUAUCAAAACAUGGAAUACUCAGUAGGCAUCUGUAAUGCUCCAAUUUUCUGAACUGGAACGCUACACGAUGCUCAUAACCCUGAAGGACCACAAGCUAACCCAUGACUGAUAGCUGUACCUGUAUAUUGUAUAAUAUCUCAUAAAAUGCGUAAAGUCCAUAAGGUUCAAUACUGCAUAACUGAAUAAUAAUAAUAAUGUCUAAAUACAGUGACAUCACAAUACCAAAACAAACUAAAAUACUAAAGUCUAAGUUUGAAAUACUGUAGUCAUCUAAAAACCUCUAACUAUUUGAAUAAGGAGUUGAAUGGGACAUAGUUCCCCAACUAAAUCCAUCAAAAGCUAAAUUGAAAUAAUAAUAAAGUAAUAAUCAUCUCAUCCUCGAAGGAAGAGGACUCACUGCAACUCUGAGUACUGGAAUUCUACUGCUAUUGCUGAUCUGGAACUCAAGUCUCUGGACCUAUGGUGUAAAAUAAAAGAAGACACCAUAGCGCUAAUGCAUCAGUACUUUGGAAUAUACUGAGUAUGCAGGUGAGGUGGGCUAAAUGCAUAGGGUUCAUAUGCAUGAACAAUACUAACUGAAUAACUAAUAUGAAAGUGAGAAUACAUACAUGAAUACAUGGAAAUGGUAACUGAAAUCGUGAUGACAUGAACACUUAAUCUUUAUGCUGAUGACAUGAGUUUAAUAAUCUCUGACAUGACUGAUAGAUGAGUUCUGAUAACUGAUAUCACUAAUAACAUGGGCGAUUGUAUCUGACAGUCCUAAAACUAAUGGAACUAUUUGAGUUUUGUACUGUAUCUAAGUUGACUAUAUCUGAUAGUUCUGGAACCUGAAUAACUAUCUGAGUUAUUUUACUGAAACUAAGACUGAAACUGUGGGAAGUAGUUAUUUAACCGACAUGUCCCAUGUCUUCCAAUAUAGCUAAACUGGGGUCCAAUCUCUGUCCUGACUGGAAGGGUGUUAAUACCGCAUUACUGGUAAAGACAACUAGGAGUGACCCUCAUAUAACAGGUUACUCUAACGAGAACAGUGGGAAACCUCAUAUAGCAGGUUGAUCCACCUCAUCUACCCUCAUAUAAAAGACUAUGAUUUCUCAACCUACGCUGGCUAUAUAGUUCUGGAAUGCAAGGAUGACUUCUAAGAAUCACACCCUUAAAAUAACAGGUGAGUUCCCAUCCUUGGGCUCACUCGGUGCUAACUCUUACUCCCAUCUGAAUAGACUGAUCAUGAUUGAUACUGACUAUACAUAGACUGAGUUUACCGAGUUCCGUUGACUGACAUAAUACUACUGCUACCUGAUAACUGACUAAGAUCAUGAGAUUACUGAGAUUUCUUGAGUCAUCUGACUGACUGAGUUCUAUGGAACAUGGCUUGACUAAGGAUAUCGUGGAAACAUGACUCAGGCUCUAGGCACACAGCUAUAUUUUUUGGAUACGAGUACCCCAGGACUCGAUGGAAGGAAACUGAAACAACCAUGACACUUUUUGAUCAUAGGAAUAGAGUGCACAAGUCACAAUGCCAUAAGUAGGGAAUUUUAUACUAAGCAUAGUUCUCCACAUCUUGUACAUGGUAGGGAAUGCAUAUAACAUGGUAGGGAAUGCACAUAACAUGUAAGUACUUGCAUGAUUUCAAGAUCAUGAACAUUUUAUAGCUCAACAAUCAAUACACAACAAUAGCAUGGAAACUGUGUUGAAUCUUAAGGGAUAGCAUGAAUUUGUCAUUUAAGCACUAUUGAGUCAUGAAAACUUGAUUUCUACUAUUCUAAGCAUUUUAUCAAACACCUUGCAUGCACUCUUCAUGGCAUAGGUGUGUUCAUCACUUUAACACUCUUAAACCGCCCAAAUUCAUGGAUUUCAACUAACAUGCUCACAAACUCCAUGAAAAUACAUCAAGACAUCAUUCUAUAACACAGAUAACAACCAUCAACAUGAACAUAAUCAUACAACAUCAUAAAAAUUGUAAUUUAUUAUUUAAAACUUAAUUCUUGGGCUUCACGGAUGAAAGGGAUCCGUGGAUGAACACUACUCAUACCUUCGGUUGAUGAUUCAUGAAAGUUAGCGGUGAAAUCGGCUUGAAUCUUGAAACCCCCAAUUGAACCCUUAACUUGUUCUUGAUAAUUUAGAGAGAAUUUCAGCAAAAAGAGUAUAUUUUGAUUCAAUUUAGGAUUAAUUCUGUGUUAGGGAGUUUAUAUAUGGGUAAAAAAGGACCAAAAUGCCCUUUUAGAACAUGGAGGUGGAAUACAGGUUUUUGGCCUAGGGCGAUCUGCAGGGAGACACCUUGCCUAGCCCGGGGGACUACCCUGGGCGACUCCUUGCAAGAGCAGUACUCAAGCCAGGGCGGCACCCUGCUUAGAGGGGGGGCGACGAGGGCCUAUCGCCUUUUGCUACUAUUUUGGGUACUCAAACGUGCCCUUAUGCUAUUCGAAAAAUACCAAAACUUACCCGGGAUGUACCACGAUCUUGCCCUAUCUCAACGCAACUUGAAAAUCAAAAAUCGAAGGUUGGUAAGGUCGUCAGAUAAAUCCACGAAGUUUAGAGGUCUAAAAUGAGACUGAGUGUUAAACACUUAGCAAAAAUUUUCUAAGUCUUGGAGCUUGUAAAGCCUAAUAAGCUGCAUUUUAGACUUAGGAUUUUACGGGGUCUUACAACAUCAUAGGCUGAUUGGGCUCAAUUACAAUAAAAGCAUAAUAAAAUACGAAUCUAUACUAAGAGGCAAUGAAAUAGGAUCAGAAAUGAAAAUAACCAGUUAUACAAAGCAAAAGCAAGAAUUGUAAGUAAAUAACUCAAGUAGAGAAAGUAAAUAUCUAGUUAUAACCUAACUGACCCCUAUAAGCAUAGAAGGUACAUACAAUAAAAAUAAAAUUCAACCGAGCCCCCAUAAGAAUAAUAGGUGCAGACAAGAGAUAUUACUAAUAUAAAGUCUAAUAUAAUGGUAAGAAACCUGAAGAUGAGCCAAGAUGCGUGAUAUCAUAUCAUAUCGUAUAUUCUUCCUCCAACCAUAACCAUGAAAAAAUACCAGUCUUGAACUAGAUUUAUAAAUUUUAAAUAAAUAAUAGUGAAUAUCAUACUCGAAUAAAAACUAACAGGUAAUAAGCAGUAAAAUCAGGUGCCGAAUUUGAAUCAACACUAACAAAUAAUUAGUAUAAUCAGAUGCCAGAUUCAAACUAGAAUUAAUAGGCAAUAAACAAUAAGCCAGAUGUCAAACUCAAACCGAAACUAAAUAAACAACAGGUAGUAAUAAUUCAACGUUUUGAUUCAACCCAACUCUAUAUAGUUCCCUUUUUCCAUUUUAGAAGGUCAAAUUCAUUCAAAGAAGGUUCUGAUAAUUAAGUCAAGUUUUGUAGUUUAAGGUGAAAAUGCUAAGAUCCAGGAAUAUGAGGUUAACAACCAUAAUCUAACAAGAAAACCAUUCUAGUUCCAAUAACUAGCCUACCUAGGUGUAUUAUAGUUGUUUAUUACAAGACAAGGCAUCACCCUAUGGUAUUUUACCUUAUAAAUGAGCCAUAAAGUCAACUAGAAGUCUCCGAAAUCUAACCUAAGAGAAGUGGCUACCCAAGCAUAGGCUAAGACAUCUACACUUAACCCCAAGGACCCUGCGUAAGCUAAACUAAGUUCUAAAGAGAGAAGCAACUAUCGGACUUGUUGGUGAUAUUAUAAUAAAAUUGCAGUGAAUCUUACAACUGAAUUACAACUGAAAAAUUAUAAAUGAAUAAAGAAAAUAUAUUUCUUCUUCUUUGGCUGAGGCGCGGAUAUCUCACUCUCUUUAAGGAGAUUUAAGCCCACUGCAGUAAUUGUUUCUCCGGUCCAGCAGUAACACACUUUGACUUGUCCCCUCCAGGAUACAACAACCUACACAAUAUAACUCAAUACUCUGGACUAGAAUUGAGUUCAAAGCUCAACACAAUGAACACCUCCCUUCAACUAUUAAACUCUCUUAAUAUAUAGUGUAAGACUUAAAAUUUUCUCUGCCUUCUCUUAUUCUCUGUUGCACCAUUUUUUCAUGCAAAGUGUCGAACUUAUAUAUGAGUAAAAAGAGCAAAGCACUGAUGUUUAAAGUAGGAAUAAUAGAGGGAAUAAAGUAAAGUACCAUUACCAACUUUUUUGUUUGGGAUAAUAUAUAAAAGAAUUAAAAUAUUAAAAAAUGCAAUCCCUUCAAUCCCCCACUCAUAUUUUUUUUUAUCAAGAGAGUCUACUAGUUGACGGAAGAUUAUUAUGCAUAAUAGAAGGUGUGCUCUGCAUUGAACCUCUACUUAGUAAAAUAAUAAUUUUUACUCCAGAGUCGUAGUGGUUUCAGACUUGAACUAUGACUGCUUUGGGGAAAUAAAAAGUUAUUGCUUACACAUAAUAAUCAAGGUGUUGAAAUGAGCUUUAUAGCUAGUACAUUACGACCUUGUACUAUUCCAGUUUUAAUGAGUGUCUUUAGAGAAUGGGCCUAAUUCUCAUUAGGAAGAGGCCUACCUCCACACUCACAUAGGUGAAAUCCGUCGAGAGUGCUCCUGUAAUUUAGCACCCCAUUCAUACAAGCUAUAGAUUUUCAUUAAGAGUUUAAUAAAAAAAAAUCAACCUCACCAUCAUUACAGGUAAAUGCACUUACAUCAUAGGGAGGGAUAAAAUAAAUAGUGCAUUUUUCACAACAAGUCAUCAGGUGAUUCGUUUUUCCCAUUGAACCUGGUUAUAUGAUCUCCAGUCCCCAGAUUGGGUUUCCUUACAUAUGACUUGAGAAGUAAUAGGCUUCAAUCUCAUCCCUCUCGAUGUACUCUAGACCUUUUCUCUUGUCAAGGACUUGGUCAACGGAUCUGCAAGAUUAUCACAAGAUUUGACAUAAUCAACAUUAAUGGUACCAUUUGUCAAAUAUGAUCUCACAUUACUAUGCUUUCUCCGUAUAGGUCUGGAUUUACCGUUAUAAUAACAGUUUUGAACUCUACCAAUUGCAGCGGUGCUAUCACAAUAAAUUAAUAUAGGAGGAAUUAAUUUUUCAAAAUAAGGUAUUUGAAAUAACAAAUCUUUUAACCAAUUCGCUUCCUCACUAGAUGAAGCUAAAGAAAUUAGUUCAGCCUCCAUGGUAGAAUUAGCAAUUAUUGUUUGCUUUUUAGACUUCCAACAAAUAGCACCACCACCCAAAGUAAAUAUAUAACCAGUAGUAGAUAAGGAAUUACCUGAUAAAGUAUUGUAAUCCGCAUCACAAAAACCUUCAAGUACAGCAGGAUAUUUUGAAUAGAACAAAUCACAAUUUUUCGUUCCAAUCAAAUAUCUCAUUACUUGCUAGUAAACCUGCUAAGUACUCCUACUGCAUAUACAAUAGCAGGCCUAGUACAAUCAGUCACAUAUCUCAAACUUCCAAUUAUGCUAGCAUAUUCCUUUUGAUUUAUUACUUCUGUUUUACUGUCAAAAGACAACAAGUGAACACUAGAAUCAAAUGAAGUUACAACAUGCUUGCAAUCAAGGAAAUUAUAUUUUCUUAAUAUUUUCUCAACAUACUGUGACUGGUCAAGGAAAAUUUCAUCACAUGUUCUAGUAAUUUUUAUUCCUAGAAUAAAAUUUGCCUCACCAAGAUUUUUCAUUUUAAAAUGGCUUCUAAGAAUAUUUUUAGUCUCAUCAAUAAUAUUCAUGUUAGAGCCAAAGAUCAAUAAAUUAUCAACAUAUAGGCUAAUAAUCACAUGAGAAUUAUUUCAAGACUUAUGAUAUAUGCACUUAUCACACUUAUUUGUUUUAAAUUCAUUUUCAAUCAUGCAGGAAUCAAACUUUUCAUGUCAUUGCUUCGGUGCCUGUUUAAGCCAUAUAGGGAUUUAUUAAGUUUACAUACUUUGCUUUCUUGGCUAGCUUUCACAAAACCUUUGGGUUGUUCCAUGUAAAUUUCUUCAUUUAGGUCUCCGUUUAAAAAAGCAGUUUUUACAUCCAUUUGAUGAAUUUGUAAAUCAAAAAUUGCCGCAAUAGCAAUUAAAAUCUAAUGGAUGUAAUUCUAAAUCCUGAACCCUGAACCCUGAACCCUGAACCCUAAACCCUGAAAUGGAUGUAACUCUCGUUACCAGUGAAAAAGUAUCAAAAAAUUCUAGGCCUUCUAAUUGGUUAAAACCUUUAGCUACAAGCCUAGCUUUAUAUUUAUCAAUAGAUCUAUCCAAUUUUAAUUUUUUACGUAAGACCCAUUUACAUCCAAUUGUUUUACAACCUGAUGGUAAAUCAACUAACUUCCAAGUUUUAUUAGAAAUUAGCGAUUCCAUUUUAUCAUUUACAACCCCUUUUCAAAAAAUAGCAUCAUGUGAUGACAAAGCUUCAUUUAAAGUGAGUGGGUCAUCUACAACGUUAAAAACAUAAUAAUCAGGACCAAAGUCUUUUUCUACUCGAGCUCGUUUACUUCUUCUUAACUCAAAAUCAUUAUUUUCAUCAUUAUUUAAAGUAGAAGUAGAAGAACUAGGUAGUGACAAAAUCUUUUCUUUAGUCCCAUGAGCCCCACUAUUUUUAGAAUUAAAAGGGAAUUUAGUUUGAUGAAAAAUAGCAUCACCUGAUUCUAUUAUCACGCUAUCUUCUAGACUAAAAAAUCUAUAGGUUGUACUAUUUAAAGUAUAACCAAGAAAAGCACAAGUAGUAACUUUUUUACCCAACUUAGAGAUUUUAGGAUCCAUUAACCUCACAUAGGCUAAACAUCCCCAAACUCUUAGAUAUCCCAAAUUUGGCUUAUAACCUUUCCACAAUUGAAAAGGCGUUAAUUUCGUCUUUUUAUAAGGCACACGAUUUAACACAUAACAAGCAGUUAAAAGAGCUUCACCCCAAAAACUUAAAGGAGCACACGACUCAAUUAACAUGACAUUAGUUAACUCAACCAAAGUUCUAUUCUUCCUGUCCGCUACACCGUUAGAUGCUGGAGAAUAAGGAGGAGUAGUUUCAUGAAUUAUACCCAAUGAUCUUAAAAAAGAAUUGAACUCAAGUGAUUCAUAUUCACGGCCUCUAUCACUUCUAAUUCGUUUUGUUUUGCAAUUGAGCCAUAUCUACACGAAAGCAAACAAAGAUAAGCCUUCCCCUGUCCCUCAAAGGGUAAUGGAUUGAAUUAGAUAAGCUUAUAUUUCUUCAACACAUAAAUAUGAUUCAUCUGCAAUUGACUCGGGGUCAAUAGACGCAGGGCGGGUUUUCUAAUGGGCCCAAUACCCCGCUCGGGUAUUUGUCAUCCUAGGCUCAUGCCUAAAAUAGGGUUUUGGUUUUGCUCUAUCCUAAGUAUCUAGAGUGGGUUUGAACACUGGUUCUCAAGAGGACAAUUUGAGUUUGAAAAUACAAACAGCCAUCAAACGACUCACGUGCUAAUAAACUGUUUGUAUUUCCAACACAUUUUUGAAAUUGAUCAAUAAGGGUCGGGAUACCCACGAAACCCCAAAACAGUUUAAAUAAUGUAGGAAUAUGCCAUGUGAUAUGAUAGUUAAACUUUACAAAAUCAAAGCAUAUAAACACAUAAACAGUUAAUCAAAAAAAGAAAUCAAACAAUUGGUUAGAACCCAGUUCCAAAUCCCCAGCAGAGUCGCCAUUUCUGUUUUGUGAAAAUUUUGACUUUUUGAGAGAGUCGCCACUUAAUUUUGAAAAGGAAUUAAGAAACCUUUAGAGAGUUACUUAAAAUGAUUCAAAACAGGAAAAUCACUUUAAUUUUUUAAGAUUCUGAGUAAGUGAUUUUUAUUAACGUUUUAGGAAGGAUUAGGCACCUAAAACGUCCGCUAACUUGCGGUUAUCCGAUCUAUAUAAGAAAAUUCUUUUGAUUAAUUUCUUAAUGAUUAAUUUGCUGAAAAAAAUGAUUGAUUUUAGAAAUAUUUUGAAGGUUUGCAAAAAUUAGUUUUUAGCGAAUUCAUUAGGGGAUUUAACUAGGUUCGCACAAGGCAUGCAAAACAAAUAAUCAAAAAGAAAAGGGAAAGGGGAGAAAUAAUUAUUUAGGCUUUGAAGCCCAAACCAUUGAACCUGUCCUAAUCUACUUGAGUUUUCAACCCAUUUGUCCUUUCACCGGUCUCAUUUCUAUGUUUUCGAGCCCUUUGGCUCGAAUUUUUGCUUCACCGGUAUUAAGUACAAUUUUAGCUUCUAGGCCCAAAAUAACUCAACCAAUAAACAGAUAAAACAAUGAUAAAUAAAUAAAUAAAGGAAAGGCUAGCGAUUCGUAUUGCCACUUCAAGGGUGGGGCUUUAACCCCGUUCCCUUCUUCGACUUUCUUUCAUCCAUAUAUAGUUCGACUCUAAACUCUCUUUCGGCUUGACUUGAAAACAUAGGACUUAUUGGCCCAUGAAGAAUAUCUGGAAAGGGAAGAGUCCGUGGGGACUUGAAUGAUGUCCAUGCAUGGAAAGAAAAAUAAAACACAUUAGUAUAUAAUCUAAAUUAAAGAAAGGAGAAAACCAACAAAAAGAAAAUAAAAAUAAAGUGAGGUAAGUUAGAUAACAUGUGUUCAAAGAAAGGCAAAACUGCAAGAAAAACUAAUGCGGAUUUAACGAAAAGAAAAAUUGGCAAUGUGGUAUGGGUCUCAACAAUCAAAAGCCGAUUAGGGAUAGUAAUCCAUAUUCAUAUCAAUUAAAAGAUCAAGUUCAGACAAAACAGGGGAAAUUGAAAAUAGCUUGGUACAUGAUCACCCCAAGAAGUAAAAAAAAAAAAGGAAUAAAAGGGGACAUAAAUAAGAAAAAUUAAUUCGCACUUAGCUAAGAACAACGCGGCAUAGACAAAUACUCAAGAGCCGGUUGGAAUCAUAAAAUAUUUUCAUACCAAUUUGACAAAGAAGAAUUGUAUGCCAAUGGACUUUGCAUUUCGGGUAAUCCAACAUGACAGGAGUGAAGACAGAGCGUAUAACCUUUUCCUAACUAAUUUGAGAUGAUUGCUAGGUACGCGAAAAUAAAAAUGAAAACAUCAAUCUGACUAUCACUAUGCAAAAUGACUAUAGCAUGGGCAUAACAGUUCACUAUUGUCUUUGCAACAUGGCGCAGUAUCAGUAGGCUCAGUAUAUUGAACUGAAAUUGGACACCUCUUGCAUACUAAACUUCUAAUUAGCAGAUGCAAAAGAAAGGAAUAUAAAAUAUGAGAACCAUUUCAAUUCAUAAAAGAAACCUUUGCGUGUUUAUACCAGACGGAUACUUCCAGUUAUAUCGCACAUAGUAUGUCUUGAAAUGUGAAGAAGUGCAUGGUUUUGAUCUCAUAUUAGUAAGAGACCAAUUUGUGCUAAACUUGAGCACACCUAUUGCACUUGUGAGUUUUAUGUAGAUGAAGAAAAUGACAGAUAGGUAUAGAUUUACUACUGAAACGCUCACCAAUCCACCUUGAUUUAGUUGAAGGGACAGAACACAACCACGCAAGAUCAGCCAUACUAUGAGUUGCAACUCAAAUUUUCAAGCAGUUAUCACUCAAAUGGUCAGUCUACUGCCUAACACCGAUAAGACAAAAAUGAAGUGAGAUUUAGAAAAAGAAGAAAGAAAAAGGAAAAAAAGAAAAGAAAUAACCUUCAGACUAAAACAUGGCUACGAAUUUUAAUACCAAAAGAGAUAGAACUUUAACGAUGAACUAAAAUUAUCAAAUUGAGGUCAACGGAAAUAUCAUCUCGAAACAGUAGUCGUAACUCAAUCCCAUAGCUUAUGGCUCUCAAGGCCUUUACAGCAAAACAAUUCUCAGCGCCCAAGGUUAUAAGUACAACUACGAAUCAGGUAAUAUUAGACUGAAAAUAGUUAAACUAGAAUCAAGGCAUGACCUUUAACCAAGAACCAGCUAUUCGAACCAUAACAGUUCAUAAGAUAAAACCUUUAGUCGAAAAUUAAUCAAAAAUAUCAAGAGUAGGUGACAGAUCACGAAACCGAAACAAAGACGAUGAAAUCACAUAUCAAAAAAUCAAGCCAGAAAUUAAUCCUAAUGUAACAAUACAAACAAAAUCAUCUUUCGCAAAAAGAGCAACCUAUGAUCUUUAAAAAUUUCUACUGCAACAAAUUCCCAGCGCAUUACUGUUAAAGUAUUAAUAACCAAAGAAUGACUAAUAUGGAGAAAUGAGAUGAACGAGAAAGUGAAAAUAAAACUAGAAGGGAGAGACAUGUUUACCUCUAUCGGGGCAGCAAACAGGACGACGAAUUAUCAGCAAAAUCGUCGCUACCGAAAUCUUGCGACGUCGACCACCAACAGAGCGUCCUUUUGCUUUUUCCUCUAGAGAUUUCAAAACUAGCUUGGAGAGAAGAGAGAAGAGAGAAAAGCCCCCCAAAACUUCUAUAAAAGAACCCUAACUCCCAGACUUUCUCCCCCCCAAAAAAAAUCCUCUAAAAUUUACUAACCCCGUAAUAUCAACCUCAGAAGGGAAAGAAGAGAAAAAAAUGCCCUAAACAAUGAUCUAGAAUUUUCCUCUCAAGAAAUUUUUUACUCCCGCCCCCCCCCCCCCCCCCCCAAAUAAAAAGAGACCCCCUUAGAACCCUCAAUUCCCCUCUUUAUAGAGAAACCAAAAGAUAGGGUUUGUUUUUGGGCUUUCCGUAAGGGCGGUCUUGGUAUUUUUCCAAAAUUUUGAAUUUCAAAACUGAUGAUAAGGUUGACAACGGGAUUUGUUACUCGAACUUGUACCGAUUUUUGGAUUCUUGGUAAAUUUCAAAUUGGUUCCAACCAAUAGGAAAAGGAAACAUAGAAAUCCCCUCCCAAAACCAAUCAAAACCAAACACAUAGGUACGAAAUCGUACCAAUAAUUCUAAGAUUCAAGGAAUUUGGUCAUUGGGGUGAGUCAACUCACCCGUUUUCUAUAAUCUUUUAGGUCUUUCCUCAUCGUUCUAUCAAGUGGAAAGCGUGAAGAAGGAUGGAGUUGGUUACUGGUUUCUCCGGAUUCCGGGUUGAAGGUGGGUUCUGGAUUUGGUUGGUGUUGAUGAUGGUCGAUGUUGACUUGAAGUUGCUGUUGGUUAUGGAAGUUAAGGAGGAAAAUAAGAUGGGCCGGGUAGGGGUUUAGGCGCUGGGCCGAUCGUUUGUUAUUAGGCUUGGGGUGGCAGUUAAAUAUCAUUGGGCUGGUUUAGAUCAUUUUGGGAAUUUGGAAAAUAGGGAGUGGGCUGGUGGGUCAGGAAUAUAUGGCUCGGUCCAGUUGAUAUAAUUGAAGAGAAAAUGGGCCGCUACUGAUUUGCUAAUUGGGUUGAAAUUGAGGAUUUGACUAUUCAUUUAGGUUUUGGCCGAAUUGAAGAUCAGUUGGCCAAUUGCAUCGCAAUUAUGGCCAAUUUGAUUUCAAUUGCGGCCGAAUCUAACGGAUUGGCCGAAUUAAAUCAUUUUUUGAAAUGAAUUAAUAGCUUAUUUAACCCUGAGCUUCUUGAUUCGAUAAAAAUUAAACACAUAUUCAUCCGAAUAAUUUAUUUUUUGAGAGUAAAUUAUUUGAAUCAAGAUUCUAAUUAUUAAAAUUAUUUUAAAGAUAAUCCUUAAUUAAAAGACCAGCAUUCCGUUGAAUAAAUGUUUAAGCGACAAAAUUAUAUAUAUAUUUUGAUAUAAUUGAAUACAAUAGUACAUUAUCGUCACUUAAAUGAUAAAAUUAGCCGACUAAACGAUUUGAAAAUCUUUUAUUCGGGUAAAGUAAAUGUUAUAAUUUUGUUUUAAAAAUUGAAAAAAAUUGAGACUAAACUCAGUUGUGGAGGGCAAAAAUUAGGUGUCAACAAAUGCCUCCUCCCUUUGGUUAGGGUGAAUGCAAGUGACCCUAGGCAAAGGGAAGUUGACGUCCCUAAUUUUUUCCGACCAUAAAUUCAUAUCUGGAGGAAGUUGUUUUAUGUACGAGCCUAAGGAGUUAUGGCAGGACCUCGGCAUCAGGUUUUAAAAUUUCACAAGCUGUUUUGAUUUUUUGGGAAUUUAUGAUAAAAUCAUAAAAGAGAGGGAGUAGAGGGAUUUAGGGGGAGGUUGGAACGCAGUAGAGUUUUCUAUACGGAUCCCAGCCUACAUAUCCCCAAGACUUAAGGAAUCAGACUGCUUGUAGUUUGACUCAAUCGGUAGAAAAGAUAGCCUUUAUUUCAGACGGUCUUUGGCUCAGGAUAAAUGACAAGUUGAUCGAGUUGCGGAAAAAAGCUUGUAACCUCUUAAUCACGAAUGUGGGAUCCUUCCCACUCAUAGAAAAGAACUUACCCGACCAUAAUUUUCAAAACUCUAAGUAUGAUGUCACCCGAAUUUGAAAGGAAGAGAAAGUUCCCCUCGAUAUGAGUUAAGAAAACAUCCCAGAGGUAAAGCUGAGACCAUAAUAUCCAAAAUUAACCACAUGCCUUCUAAUAGAGGCGUGGUUAGAUGGUGGUGGUGAUCAUCAUUUAACUCGCGUCUAGAGAGUUUGACAUCCCUCUCC